rnacentral:rRNA from 2 species
CAAAAACAUCGCCUCCCGCAAAAAUCAAUGUAUAGGAGGUCCUGCCUGCCCAGUGACUAUAAGUUAAACGGCCGCGGUAUUUUGACCGUGCAAAGGUAGCGCAAUCACUUGUCUUUUAAAUGAAGACCUGUAUGAAUGGUGGAACGAGGGCUUAACUGUCUCCCCCUUCUAGUCAAUGAAAUUGAUCUACCCGUGCAGAAGCGGGUAUAAUAAUACAAGACGAGAAGACCCUUUGGAGCUUAAGAUAAAAGGCCAACUAUGUCAAAAGUCCUAAAAAAGACUAAACCAAAUAGUACUGGUCCUAAUCUUCGGUUGGGGUGACCACGGGAGAAAACAAAGCUCCCAUGCGGAUUGGGAUAAUUUCCUAAAACUAAGAGAGACAUCUCUAAGACACAGAACAUCUGACCAUAAAGAUCCGGCUACAUGCCGACCAACGGACCAAGUUACCCUAGGGAUAACAGCGCAAUCCCCUUCCAGAGUCCAUAUCGACAAGGGGGUUUACGACCUCGAUGUUGGAUCAGGACAUCCUAAUGGUGCAGCCGCUAUUAAGGGUUC